CUAAUCCUACGGGGGGCAGCAGUGGGGAAUAUUGCACAAUGGGGGAAACCCUGAUGCAGCAACGCCGCGUGAGUGAUGACGGCCUUCGGGUUGUAAAGCUCUGUCUUCAGGGACGAUAAUGACGGUACCUGAGGAGGAAGCCACGGCUAACUACGUGCCAGCAGCCGCGGUAAUACGUAGGGAGCGAGCGUUAUCCGGAAUUAUUGGGUGUAAAGGGUGCGUAGACGGGAAAGCAAGUUAGUUGUGAAAUCCCUCGGCUUAACUGAGGAACUGCAACUAAAACUACUUUUCUUGAGUGCAGGAGG
rnacentral:rRNA from 1 species